rnacentral:lncRNA from 1 species
GGGAUUAUCUUUUGUAUCUCUUAUUGUGGCUAUGUUUGUUUAUCUUUUAUUUGAUGGAUAAUAUGUAAACAAAAAUCAUUGUUAGUUGUAUUUAUCAGAGUUUAUAACUUACUCUGCUUUUUUGUUUAGGUAAUUUCACUGAUCUUGGUUGUCUUAUUCGUUACGAAAGUAAGUUUGUAAAUUAUUAAAUAGUUAGCCGUGCAGUUUGUAUUUGUUUAGCUAACUCGAUGUAUGUGUCUUUGCGAAAGUAAGUUUGUAAAUUGUUAAUUAGCUGGUCGUGUAGUUUGUAUUUGUUUAGCUGACUCGAUGUAUGUGUCGUUGAGUUUUAGUUGAGGUGUUUGGUUUGGUAUAUUUGUUUUGAAGUUUAUUUCAAAGAUUAGACAAAAAA